rnacentral:lncRNA from 1 species
GAAGAAACUUCUUCCAUUCAAAUCCAACCUGAGUCUCCCUAGCUAGGUGAAAAUGGGCUAGUCAUGUCACCCUGUUGCCUCAGUUUCCCCAUCGGUGAAAUGGCAAACCUCUUAGGCAUCUCUGCCAAACAAACCCCAAAGGGGGUCACAGUCAUGGCUGAAAAUGCCAAAUAACAUCUUGUUUGCACACUGUGAGUGGUCUUUUCUUCCCUGCCCCCCACUCCUUAGAGUGAAUCCUCUUGAGGGUUUUCUUUGGGGGUUUUUUGUUUUAACUUUCUGUGUCCCCAAAUGCUUAAGUUUCUGGGCCACAGUAGGCACUUAAUAAAUGCUUGUCUUAUUGAGGUGAGAUCCCUGGCAGGACUUUUUAUCUGUUCAUGAAGCAUCAGGAGGAAGAGGAAGAUAGAGGAGGAGGAGUCACCUGACCUAAGAAGGCCCCUGACUGAAACAGGAACCCCAGAAAACUUGACCCCAUGCAGCGGUCAGUGGCAGAGGCCCAGUGGUCUCCCUCAUUUUCCAGAGGUGCCCAAGGCUACCCAGAGCUAAAGAAGACCAGCUGGUAUUUGAAAGUCCGCUGUAAAAUGGGGACAAGACCCCGACUCCCUCUCGUUCCCGGCCUGUGCCUCUCUGGCUCGCCCUCCUCCUUCUUUUUGCCCAGCAGUCUGUAGUUCUGGGCCUCCCCUCCCACACUCUGGCAGAUGCAAAUCACAUAAAGGAAGAAAGCCCGAAUCUUGCGUUCUGCCUGUCCCCCUUCCUUUUUUCUGCGGUUGCGGAAAUGCAGACUUCUCCCAGCUAGCACGAUUACUCACCGUGGAUGAGGGCAGGAUCCAUGAUUUCUUCAGUGAACAGGAGUGGGGGUAGGGUGGAUGAGAGAGCCUACGGUGGGAUCUUCCCUCCAUCCUUUGCAUCUCUUAAUUUCACGCCUUGUGGCCAGAAUAUUUUUCCCCCUCUGGAGACCUGGAUGAUUGGUCCCUGGAAAGAUGUCCAUUUUGAAGGGGCCAGAGUGUCUCAUGAUCUUCUGGGUUAACCUUCAAAAGCCCAGAAGACCUUCCCGACAUUUGACCACUUUCAAACAUCCAUGCGGCGACUACUACGGGCAGAAUAGAGCACUGAGCUGGCAGUCACAAAAGGAAACAUUCGGUCAGAAGCAUCUUCUUGGAGCACACAGCCCCUAAUGGGAAGAAAAGCAAAAAUAUCGAUCACUUUAAUAUACGUUGAACAUGGAUAAAUUCAGGAGAGAGAAAGAAACCAGUGUGGCCAGAAGUCCAGCAGCUUCCUGAAAGAAAAGCCUUGGCAGAAGGAUGCCCACCAGCCAUUCUCAGAGAAGGCAUGAAUGUAAACUGACUUGAUCUUCCUCCCAGCCUCCCUCCAUGCCCUGGGCUAAGGCUGGGGGAAAGGUGAGGGCUUGUGUUGAUCCCUUGAGGGCAGUCUCUACAUAUCCCUUUUUUGGUUCUUCAAUGUUUUCCUUUUUUGGUCUUUUA